AUUGAACGCUGGCGGCAGGCCUAACACAUGCCAGUCGAGCGGUAACAGAAAGAAGCUUGCUUCUUUGCUGACGAGCGGCGGACGGGUGAGUAAUGCUUGGGAACAUGCCUUGAGGUGGGGGACAACAGUUGGAAACGACUGCUAAUACCGCAUAAUGUCUACGGACCAAAGGGGGCUUCGGCUCUCGCCUUUAGAUUGGCCCAAGUGGGAUUAGCUAGUUGGUGAGGUAAUGGCUCACCAAGGCGACGAUCCCUAGCUGGUUUGAGAGGAUGAUCAGCCACACUGGGACUGAGACACGGCCCAGACUCCUACGGGAGGCAGCAGUGGGGAAUAUUGCACAAUGGGCGCAAGCCUGAUGCAGCCAUGCCGCGUGUGUGAAGAAGGCCUUCGGGUUGUAAAGCACUUUCAGUCAGGAGGAAAGGUUAGUAGUUAAUACCUGCUAGCUGUGACGUUACUGACAGAAGAAGCACCGGCUAACUCCGUG
rnacentral:rRNA from 1 species